rnacentral:sRNA from 1 species
CCCUGGUGACAGCCUCCGUGUUGUAACGACACUCAAGCAGCCCGGUGGAGAGGAACAGAGGCCUCUUGCCAAUAGCUGCACCACCUUGCCAGCCAUGACAGUCUCCGUAAGAAGGAUGACAGGAUUGAAGAGCUGGAAGAAGCACUAAGAGAAAGUGUACAGAUAACUGCAGAGCGGGAAAUGGUGCUAGCACAAGAGGAAUCAGCCAGGACCAAUGCUGAAAAACAGGUGGAGGAGUUACUGAUGGCCAUGGAGAAAGUAAAGCAGGAACUAGAAUCCAUGAAAGCAAAGCUGUCCUCCACCCAGCAGUCUCUGGCAGAAAAGGAAACUCACUUAACUAAUCUUCGGGCGGAGAGAAGGAAACACUUAGAGGAAGUUCUGGAGAUGAAGCAAGAAGCUCUUCUGGCUGCCAUUAGUGAAAAAGAUGCCAAUAUAGCUCUCUUGGAGCUUUCAUCCUCUAAGAAAAAGACCCAAGAGGAAGUGGCUGCCCUGAAGCGGGAGAAGGAUCG